CCUACGGGAGGCAGCAGUGGGGAAUCUUGCGCAAUGGGCGAAAGCCUGACGCAGCAACGCCGCGUGCGGGAAGAAGGCCUUAGGGUUGUAAACCGCUUUCAGUAGGAACGAAAAUGACGGUACCUGCAGAAGAAGGUGCGGCCAACUACAUGCCAGCAGCCGCGGUGACACGUAGGCACCAAGCGUUGUCCGGAUUUAUUGGGCGUAAAGAGCUCGUAGGCGGUUCAGUAAGUCGGGUGUGAAAACUCUGGGCUUAACCCAGAGCCGCCACUCGAUACUGCUGUGACUUGAGUUCGGUAGGGGAGCAGGGAAUUCCUAGUGUAGCGGUGAAAUGCGCAGAUAUUAGGAGGAACACCGGUGGCGAAGGCGCUGCUCUGGGCCGAUACUGACGCUGAGGAGCGAAAGCGUGGGUAGCAAACAGGAUUAGAUACCCUGGUAGUCCACGCCGUAAACGUUGGGCACUAGGUGUGGGUUCCAACCAACGGAAUCCGCGCCGUCGCUAACGCAUUAAGUGCCCCGCCUGGGGAGUACGGCGGCAACGCUAAAACUCAAAGGAAUUGACGG
rnacentral:rRNA from 1 species